rnacentral:rRNA from 1 species
UGGUGGAGUGAUUUGUCUGGUUAAUUCCGUUAACGAACGAGACCUCAGCCUGCUUUUGUAGUUGAGCGCACCUUGGUGUGUUUUGACUUCUUAGAGGGACAAUGGAUUUUGUAGUCCAUGGAAGUUUGAGGCAAUAACA